rnacentral:rRNA from 1 species
AGCAGCCGCGGUAAUUCCAGCUCCAAUAGCGUAUAUUAAAGUUGUUGCAGUUAAAAAGCUCGUAGUUGAAUUUCGGGAUCAGUACGUCGGUCGUGCCUUCGGUAUGUACUGGUGUCACUGGUUCCUCCCUUCUGACGAACCGUCAUGCCAUUAAUUUGGUGUGGCGGGAAAUCAGGACUGUUACUUUGAAAAAAUUAGAGUGUUUAAAGCAGGCUCACGCUUGAAUACAUUAGCAUGGAAUAAUGAAAUAGGACGUUGAUCUUAUUUUGUUGGUUUCUAGGAUUGACGUAAUGAUUAAUAGGGAUAGUUGGGGGCAUUAGUAUUCAAUUGUCAGAGGUGAAAUUCUUGGAUUUUAUUGAAGACUAACUACUGCGAAAGCAUUUGCCAAGGAUGUUUUCAUUAAUCAAGAACGAAAGUUAGGGGAUCGAAGACGAUCAGAUACCGUCGUAGUCUUAACCAUAAACUAUGCCGACUAGGGAUCGGAUGAUGUUUAAUUUUUUAAUGUACUCAUUCGGCGUAC